rnacentral:rRNA from 1 species
CGGGUGAGUAACACUGGGUAACCUGCCCAUCAGAAGGGGAUAACACUUGGAAACAGGUGCUAAUACCGUAUAACAAUCGAAACCGCAUGGUUUCGGUUUGAAAGGCGCUUUUGCGUCACUGGUGGAUGGACCCGCGGUGCAUUAGCUAGUUGGUGAGGUAACGGCUCACCAAGGCAACGAUGCAUAGCCGACCUGAGAGGGUGAUCGGCCACAUUGGGACUGAGACACGGCCCAA